AUUGAACGCUGGCGGCAUGCUUUACACAUGCAAGUCGAACGGUAACAGGCCGCAAGGUGCUGACGAGUGGCGAACGGGUGAGUAAUGCAUCGGAACGUGCCCAGUCGUGGGGGAUAACGCAGCGAAAGCUGUGCUAAUACCGCAUACGAUCUAUGGAUGAAAGCGGGGGACCGUAAGGCCUCGCGCGAUUGGAGCGGCCGAUGUCGGAUUAGGUAGUUGGUGGGGUAAAGGCCUACCAAGCCGACGAUCUGUAGCUGGUCUGAGAGGACGACCAGCAACACUGGGACUGAGAAACGGUCGAGACGCCUACGGGAGGCAGCAGUGGGGAAUUUUGGACAAUGGGGGCAAGCCUGAUCCAGCAAUGCCGCGUGAAGGAAGAAGGCCUUCGGGUUGUAAGCUGCUUUUGUACGGAACGAAACGGUCUGGGUUAAUACCCUGGGCUAAUGACGGUACCGUAAGAAUAAGCGCCGGCUAACUACGUGCCAGCAGCCGCGGUAACAC
rnacentral:rRNA from 1 species